GGCCCUCAAGUCUGGGAGGGGUUCCUUAAUUGUCGUACCAUCAGAGAGAUAUCUGCUAAUGUUUUCAGUAAGAUGGAUGAAAAAAUAUGUCACGGUAACAUUGCAUCUAGGGUCAUGGUGAGGAGGAAUUCAUGUGUCUAAACAUCAAGGAUACAUCAGGAAAGUGGGAAUGUUCUUUUGGAAGACCAUUACCUGGUCAUUCUUCCCUUGUAUUUCUCUCUCCCAGCACUGAAGCCUUCAUAGUUUAGCAGCGAACGGUCAGCCCACCCAUGUAUCACAUACUCCGUUUUAGUAGAAGCUCAAUGCUGAAAUCUUCACGUCACUUAAACCUAAAUGGAAGCAAUAUUUGUUAUUGAUUUAUGGGGAAUAAUAAAACUUUUCAAACUUCAAAAAUGAAAAGACCAGAAUCUCUUCCCUGGAAUCAAAUGUUUGUCCACCUCAAACGCAGGAGUAAUCUCAGCAGCCCUUUCCCAGGCUGCUCGCAAACCCUACGGGGCGGAACCCUUGUAUUCCUUUCGUAUCUCCUCAAAACGCGGCAGGUUCGUGGAAACACUUACUGAACCGAAUA